UCAAACUAUCCCAAGGACCACAUUUGGCCAAUCUAAGGUCCCUAAGGAUUUAAUCCUUUAGGAUUUAAUCCUAAAAUUGUACUCCUGGUUCUUCCCAUAUCUGUACUAUACAUUGAGUAUAAGAGAUCUGAGAGUAUGGUAAUAAAUAAAAUGAAAAUGAAGAAUUAAAAUAGAAAUUCAUAUUUGAGAGCCUUAAGUAGUAAUCAUGAAAUUUUAAUUUGAAAUUGUCUUAUUAAAUUUUAAUUUGAAAAUGUCCUGUAUAGAGGCUGUUGGGGCUUUUGGCUUAAUGGAGUAUUAAGGUCUGAUACUUCCUCUAACUGGGUGGAUCAGUGUAGUGAGAUACUAGUGUUCUUAGUCUAUACAGUUAUGAAGAAAUGAACAAUGGUAAUCUUUCUCCUGAAGUAUUUAUUUUGGUGGCUCCUCAAGAGAUAGUCCAGAGUUUCUGCUUUACUGGAGAAUCAUCUACCUCAUUACCACUUUGGCAUCACUGAUCACAUAUCUUAAAAUGGAUUGUGUGUGUGUGUGUGUGUGUGUGUGUGUAGAAAAAAAAAUCACUCAAGAUGGCAAAGUAAAUUCUUUGUUACUUAGACUAGGUAAGUAUUUCAGCCUAUAUGCGAAGGGAGUUUUGCACGAAUGCAUUUGACAAAACACUGAGGAAAAUAGACUUUUGUUACUAGACAUGAGUGUCUAUGCCAUACAAACAAACAAACACACACAUCUAACCCCUCCUAAAAAAAAAAAAAAUAAAGAGAAAAGGAAAGGGGGAAAACACCACAGCUUAAAUGAUAGGUUUUGUAAAUGCUCUGCUGUUUUACAAUUUUACAAUUGAAAUCACAGUUUCCUUUUUCUUCUUUCUACUUUUAUACACACAGCCUAGAAGAUGGACUUUUGGCAAGCCAUAAUAGACUGCUCCUUUCCCAGGACUUAAAGGAACCAAGGUCCAGACAAGUUAAGCAACUUACCAUCAGCACCAAAGACUUCAUGCUUGCCACCAUAGCUCACUACCUCUCCAGAAGUUAACACCCAGAAUUUUAUCCUCCCUACUCUGCACAUUGCCAUAUCUCCUGUUUACUGAAGAGGAUCGCAACUGUCAG
rnacentral:lncRNA from 12 species